rnacentral:rRNA from 1 species
AGAGUUUGAUCCUGGCUCAGAAUGAACGCUGGCGGCGUGCCUAACACAUGCAAGUCGGAUGUGCCGCAAGGUGCAUGGCAGACGGGUGAGUAACGCGUGGGCAAUCUACCUUUUAGUGGGGAAUAACGAUCCGAAAGGAUUGGUAAUACCGCAUGUGAUCAUCGACUGGGAUGUUGGUGAUGAAAGCCGGGGACCGCAAGGCCUGGCGCUAGGAGAGGAGCCCGCGUCUGAUUAGUUAGUUGGUGGGGUAACGGCCUACCAAGACAUCGAUCAGUAGCCGGCCUGAGAGGGUGAUCGGCCACACUGGAACUGAGACACGGUCCAGACUCCUACGGGAGGCAGCAGUGGGGAAUAUUGGACAAUGGGCGAAAGCCUGAUCCAGCCAUGCCGCGUGUGUGAAGAAGGUCUUCGGAUUGUAAAGCACUUUAAGUUGGGAGGAAGGGUAGUAACUUAAUACGUUGCUACUUUGACGUUACCGACAGAAUAAGCACCGGCUAACUUCGUGCCAGCAGCCGCGGUAAUACGAAGGGUGCAAGCGUUAAUCGGAAUUACUGGGCGUAAAGCGCGCGUAGGUGGUUCAGUAAGUUGGAAGUGAAAUCCCCGGGCUCAACCUGGGAACUGCUUUCAAAACUGCUGAGCUAGAGUACGGUAGAGGGUGGUGGAAUUUCCUGUGUAGCGGUGAAAUGCGUAGAUAUAGGAAGGAACACCAGUGGCGAAGGCGACCACCUGGACUGAUACUGACACUGAGGUGCGAAAGCGUGGGGAGCAAACAGGAUUAGAUACCCUGGUAGUCC